UUUUCUCUUGCUGCUUUCAAGAUCCUUUCUUUAAUAUUUGUCAUUUCAAUUAUGCCUUGAGGUGGGCCUCUUUGGGUUCAUCUGGUCUGGGACUCUGCGCUUCCUAGAGCUGGGUGCCUGUUUCCUUCCCUAGGUUAGGGAAGUUUUCUGCUAUUAUUUCUUCAAAUAAGUUCACUGCCUUAUUUUCUCUCUUCUCCUCAUGGGAUCCCUCUACUGUGAAUGGUAUUGUGUUUGAUAUAGUCCAAAGGUCUCUUAAACUAUCCUCGUGUUUUUUAAAAAAUAUUUUUUUCUGUUCAACUUGGGUGAUUUCGUUUACUCUGUCUUCCAAUUCAUUGAUCUCUUCCUCUGUACCAUUGAUCUUCUAUUGAUUGCUUCUGACGUAUGUUUUAUUUCAGUUAUUGCAUUCUUCAGCUCUGCUUUGUUCUUUUCUGUAUUUUAUAACUCUGUUGAAAUUCUUACUGUGUUCACCCGUUCUUCUUCCAGUUUCUUUGAGCGUUCUUUUGAUUAUUACCUUGAACUCCUAAUCAAGUAGAUUGCCUAUCUCCACUUUGUUUAGACCUUUUUCUAAGGUUUUGUCUCGUUCCUUCACAGUCCACGGGGUCACAAAGAGUUGGACAUGACUGAGCGACUUCACUUUCCCUUUCCUUCUCUCCUUUUCAGUUGUAAGUUCGCUAUAGAAGUAAAGUUUGGGUGAUGUUAAAAGGCCUCCUUGCCAGUUUCUGGGUCAUAACCUGGAGCCAGGACUUGGGGGAACAGACAUGUAGAUGCAAGGUGGUAGAUCUGGGGUUCAGAAGGAACAGGUCCUGAGUCCAGAGCCUGCUUCACGGCCCCUCUGUGCAGUAACCAUGGCAACAGGUAGGCUGGUUAUCCAGAACAAUCUGCCUAAGAAUGUCUGCCCUAGCAAAGUCCUUCAAACCCGCCUGGAGAGUCCCAGGGAUGGGGGAGCCUGGCUGGGCCUCCCGUCCCACUCACAGGACUGCCUGUUCUUCCUUGCGAGCAUCUGUGACCUUCCCCGUGACGCCGAUCAAUCCCCAGGAUGACUGCAGAGGAGAAGUUCGUCCCAGGACGUGUCUUCUUUUUCACGCCUCCACCUUCCUUGAGCUUCACUCUCCAAAGAUCAGAUCCAGACUUGGCCAUCAGGUCUUCCUUUCUAAUCUCC
rnacentral:lncRNA from 1 species